rnacentral:piRNA from 1 species
UCCAGUAGAUCCACUGUGUAAAAUGAUGCCU